rnacentral:rRNA from 1 species
GAUGAACGCUGGCGGCGUGCUUAACACAUGCAAGUCGAACGAGAAGUGGAGACGGAAACCUUCGGGCGGAAGACUUUACUUCGAGUGGCGGACGGGUGAGUAACGCGUGGGUAACCUGCCUCAUACAGGGGGAUAACAGUUGGAAACGACUGUUAAUACCGCAUAAGACCGCAGCACCGCAUGGUGCGGGGGUAAAAACUCCGGUGGUAUGAGAUGGACCCGCGUUCGAUUAGCCAGUUGGCGGGGUAACGGCCCACCAAAGCGACGAUCGAUAGCCGAUCUGAGAGGAUGACCGGCCACAUUGGGACUGAGACACGGCCCAAACUCCUACGGGAGGCAGCAGUGGGGAAUAUUGCACAAUGGGGGAAACCCUGAUGCAGCGACGCCGCGUGAGUGAAGAAGUAUUUCGGUAUGUAAAGCUCUAUCAGCAGGGAAGAAAAUGACAGUACCUGAGUAAGAAGCCCCGGCUAACUACGUG